rnacentral:lncRNA from 1 species
CUCAAUCUCAAUAUGCGUUAGGCCGGCUCCAAGAAGCAUGGCAGAGGUGCCUUUCAUAUGUUGUAGUUGGUGGGUUAGGACCAUAAAAUCUAUUUGGUAAUCUACAUCAAAUUGUCGAAGAAAUAUAGUCAGCCACGCCGUAUUGAGUCGCUGAGGAGGGUGUUUUGAUGAAUUUAAAGGUAUUUUGAUUUUUCUUGUUUCUCAUAAAUGAUCUAUAUUGGUAUUUUAAUACCGCAACAAUCAUGUCCUCUUGAAUGUGUAUGAGUAUUUUCACUUUUGAAUGUUGAAUGAAUUACACACAAUUUUAUGUCAUUAUGAACGUUGAAUAAAUUUUGAGUGUUAAAUGUUGAAUAGUGUGUUUGAAAGUGUUUCCGUGUAUUUGUGUGUUGAGUGUGUCUAGCAUAUCUUCACAGCCUCUUCUGUUCUGUGUUCUAUAAUUUGUCUCCAAUCCAUAUAUCGGUUCAUAACUCAUGAACAAUGGAUAGGGGCUUAAAUCCCAAACGGGAGCAAUCAGGUCGUAAGUCCCAAUAGGAGAAUUUUUGGAUUUUCGAGAUGCCUAUGAGCAUAUGAAGUUGCUUGAAGAGAAUAUUUUUUUUGGAUGGGGAUCUUUUUCCAACCCAAGAUCAUGUCAGAUAUACACAUGAAAAACACUAUUUUUGUAUCGUCUAGAAGUGAAGUACAUUCCAAACAAACUAUUUUGUCCGAAAAUAUGCUUAUAAAGUCAAUGGUAAAUUUUCAGAAAUGUGGAGUGGAAAAAGUUACUCCCCUCUUGCUAUAAAUAAAUAAAUACUAGUAUAUAGUGCUCGGAAAAAACAUAGUGUGGGACACUUAUUCCACAUAUAUACCCUUAGAACCAUCCCUGAUCAUGCUUAUGACAAAUGUUGUACAAUAUAAUGCUAAACAUGUAACUGCAUACGAAAGUCGCCGGAUAAGUCUACCCGUAUAAUCCAUGGAAAGGAAUCAAUUCAGUGGCCGAAGUUGAGUAAAUUGAAAUGAUAUCUUGAUCAAGAUGAAGCACCAUGUAGAUGGCAUUACAAGAAGGGGCGAUAAACUAUAAAAAUAUGUUAUAUACAAAAUUGUCCCUAGAGGUGUCAUUGGAUAUCUAAUAAGAUUUUUACUCGGAAGGGGUGACAGCAAGAUGAAAUACCGACCCACAAGUUCAUCUUUGAUCGACUCUUAUUGCUACCUCUAUCUGACUGAUCUACAAAAUCCGGAGAUGAACCGUGUAUCUACAAAUUUGUACGUCGGGUAUGUGACUGAAGGAGUGAUCGUGCCUAGCCAAUGCAACCUUCAUCCUUUUCUCGGACUUUCUUCGUUGUUUCCCCAGAGGCUGGAGGAGAUGAAAAUUUAAGCCAGAUGGAAGAAACACAAGUUUUACUAGAAGAAAUCAUCAAACGAACCUUCUUUUUCACUUCCAGAUCCUGAAAAAUGCAAUGAUAAAGAUAAGAAAAAUUAUAUUGCCUUUUCCAUCUUAUUUCGUCUUUCUGUGAAUAAGAAGAGGGAAACUUAAACAAGAAUAUAAGAAAGUAAAUCCAAAAUAGAAGCUACAUUCUUACUUUUUAUCUUUUAUGGCAAUCACAUUGUCACAGAUGCAUGCAACGGUGCUAUUAUACGAACAAGUUAAACUAUAUUUUCACUACCUUAUCUGUGAUAUACAUAGUAAACCCUAGAUUAAAUGCUGCAAAGGUCUCAAAAGAGUACUUAUAUUCUUAUUUGAAAACUUCCAUUUAUAAUAUACAUGCUAGGAUCUUUGUAUAAGGUUGUUUUACUCAUCUGACAAAUUAUUUUCUCCUCAAGCAGAGUACGCAAGUCGAAUAGGAAGAUAACUAGCACAUUGAAAUUUGUGACGAAAUUUGGACUGACCUGAUCCUUCAGCUGCAGUG